rnacentral:rRNA from 1 species
GGAUUCCCCUAGUAACGGCGAGUGAACCGGGAAGAGCUCAAAUUUGUAAUCUGGCGUGCUCCGCGCGUCCGAGUUGUAAUCUACAGAAGCGUUUUCCGUGCCGGACCGUGUCCAAGUCCCUUGGAACAGGGUAUCAAAGAGGGUGACAAUCCCGUGCUUGACACGACGACCGGUGCUAUGUGAUACGUUUUCUACGAGUCGAGUUGUUUGGGAAUGCAGCUCAAAAUGGGUGGUAAAUUCCAUCUAAAGGCUAAAUAUUGGCGAGAGACCGAUAGCGAACAAGUACCGUGAGGGAAAGAUGAAAAGCACUUUGGAAAGAGAGUUAAACAGUACGUGAAAUUGUUGAAAGGGAAACGAUUGAAGUCAGUCGUGUCGGUCGGGUUCAGCCGGGUCUCCCGGUGUAUUCCCGGCCGACGGGUCAACAUCAGUUCUGGCCGGCGGACAAGGGCUGGGGGAAGGUAGCACCUCCGGGUGUGUUAUAGCCCCCUGUCGCAUACGUCGGCCUGGACUGAGGAUCGCAGCUCGCCUUUAUGGCAGGGGUUCGCCCACUUCCGAGCUUAGGAUGUUGACGUAAUGGCUUUAAACGA